rnacentral:rRNA from 1 species
AUUAUUUUUAUUGUAAAUUUUUAUACUAGAGUAUUAAUAGAUAUGAUCUUUAAACUUAGAGAAUUUGACGGUUUUAUAGUCUAUUUAGAGGAAUCUGUUAUGUAAUCGAUAAUCCACGUUGAACCUUACUUAUGUUAAGUUUUUGUAUACCGCUGUUUAAGAAAAUACUUUCAGGUAAUUUUCUGGAAAUGUUAUUAAUUAAUAUUUCAAGUCAAGGUGCAGUUAUAUAUAAGUUGAAUAAUGGAUUACAAUAAAUUUUAUUUAUAAUAUGGAUUAUUAUUGAAACUAUAAUUUGAAGGUGGAUUUAAUUGUAAUUUUAUGAAGAUWAAYDNANUGAUNCAUASCYCUA